UAGGAGUUUUACUGCAGUCAUUGAGUCAGAUCGCCUGGCCCCAGGCUUUGCAAGUUAAGCAGGCUUAUAAAUAGGCUGGCUGUUAACACACACGACAGGAACGGAGAAUGAAUUUGGCGCUGGAGUGUUUCUUUCUGCAAUCAGAAUUCUGUGGGGGAGCUGACACUUCACAUUUAGAUUACUUCUAUGCAAAGCCUCUGGUAACAGGUGUGACCUACAGUAAGCUUGACUAAUACACACCACUGCUCUGUCCUGGCUGGCUUUAAUGGAAAAUCACCAUAAAGAUUAACGCCCAUCACAGCCCACUAGAAAUGGCAAGGCAAAAAAUGGCAUCCAAGCAUGCAGAUGUGGUCAGAACUGCAGAGGAAAUUGGCUGGACUGGGCUGUGUCAGGCUGUGUCCAAGCAGGACAAAGUGACGCAGAUGAAGGCGAUGGCAUUUGACACCUGGGAAAAAAUGUUCCUGCUCAUCUUCCAGCUGUGAUUUGAGUGAAGAGGUUCUGUAUUCAUUUAUGAGCAUAGAAAAUGGACACCGAACAUGCCUCCUCUAUAAUCUGAAGCGGCUGAUUUAACGUGAUUGAUCCUCAAUAUGGGAGUUGCCUUCAAAGAACACAGCAACAAUGAUGACAUCGCACUACAAGACCAGCCUUCAGUCUUUAUGUUGCUUCUGCCUCUCCUGAGUUUAGUAAAAGAAAGACGUUGAUAAACAAACUAAGGAGAGGAUGAGCAGGAUCACAAAAAGAGAGUUGGGACGUUUUGAUCAUUUUUAUGUCAGCAUGCUCGUGGAUAAAGACACGUCUGCGCUGCCAAGUGUCCUAGGUAAUCCCGGCUUCAUUGAGUCCUGCACUGCGAUGUUUUAAAUCACUACUCUUUUAUUCUCUUCUACCAUAAUAGCUACACUAUAAAGAGCAGCAGAGGAGAAGGAAUCAAUAAAAUCAUGCAUCUAAUAAGGGGGGCAGGAUUAAAAAUGGUUCCUCCAAAGCCUUCAGGGGAAAAUUGAGGUGAGAUUUAAGUCUUUUGACAGGUACAUCGGGGACUUUCUCUCCCAUCCCUGCCAGAGUGGACCGGGCGGUGGGCUCGGGACUUGUUUAUGGCAGGUUGGGAUUAAGAAGGUCGGAUCUACACCGCCAUUUCUCAAGGCCUCAAAAGCCCAGUAGGCUAAUUAAACAGUAACAGGCAAGACAUGGGUCUCUCUUGCGCUCACCUCCUGGCUUUGCUCUCUUCAAUUCCAGCAGUUUAAUUUUUCUAGAAAGGGGGCAACCAUGUCGGAGCACUGGGCAGGCUUCCAGCUCUGCGGUGGGAUGUUGGAGGGGUAGCGACGCAAUGGAGGAGGACCGAGCAUUGGAAUGAGGAGAAGGUUGGUCACAGGAAAGGCCAGGUCAAACCCUCUACACCCCAGCUGACAGCUAGAGUCAGACCUUCCUGCUCCAUGAGGCUGAAGGACAGAAAAGGAGGGGGAGGCGGUAAUAUCGACAAGGUGGAAGCAUUGUGACUCAUAUUGUGAUUCCUGUGCCAGUGUUGCAGUCCACCGUCACGCCGCUGGAAGGGCAGGCGGCUCGCGUCCAAGGCCCCCCCGUGGAACUUGUGUAAGAACGGCGAGGCCUGAUGUUGUUGACCUAGCCCCAGGGUGCAUGUGUCACAGCCAAGGCCAUCAAGACGGUUCCCGUCAUCGCAUUUGCACUUCAAAAAACAUUUGGCUUGCACGGCCUUGGAGCAAGGGAGUCUCAGAGGUGCUUGUGAUAGUGGAUUCACCAGCUUACAGGAAACCUCCUGAAUUAAACAGAACGAAUGGCAACUGUUGGAUCCGUCCAACCUGCACUGCUAAUCUUCCUCAUAAUACCCAUGCCUCUCGCUCAGUUAUUGUCUCACGAAUUAAAGGGAAUCUCAUUG